CCACACUGCACCCAGACCUGGGCUCUCCAACAGCCCUCAGAGAGCCUGGGUGGGUCAGUGCUCAGCACAGUGAACCUGGCAGAGGCUGUGAUGGACUUUUCCUACAUUGCAAUAUACUUUUGCAGUUUGUCAAAAUUUACCAGUCCAGAUCUGGAAAAAGAAAACUGUAGAUGCCAAAGUGAAGCACUCCGUCUGGGCAGUGGAAGUAAUUAACUGCAGGCAGAGAUUGCCCAAAGGUGACAGCAAACCAUCCUUGACAUCAGCUUCUUUGGGUGAGAUCGAACUCCUCUGCUCUGAGUGUCUUCUGGACUCUCUCUGGCCACCCAGGACUCAGCGUGCCAAUACAUCUUUGCCCUGUGGUAGCAACCCCUCACUGAAGAUGCACAGCCCUUUUCAGAGGAAAGGAGAAGCUCAGAGAAAGCAAUUGCACCUCAGCAGAAGUCCAUGUCCCUCUCUGCUUCCCCACAUAAUACUUUGGAAGAUUAAAGGGUGCUGGCCACAAGCAUGA
rnacentral:lncRNA from 12 species